GCUGCUGCUUCAUCCUGAGGGUCACCUUCUCCACCCCUUGGGACUCCUCUCACCCAAGAUAAGGAGCACACAGCCCUCCAGGCUCAAAACAAGCCAGACAUUUCUCCUGUGGAGUUGUUUUAAUGCCACGAGAGAUCAUUACACAUUGCAAAUUCAACCAUUUGCAGACAAAAUGAGCACGGAGCAGCCUGGGAACUGUCACACCACCCCUGUUGCCUUGCCACAUUGUGAUGCCUUACAACCUUUAAGCUGAAAAUUAACAUAUAAAACCAAGGGACCUGGAAAUAUUUGUUGGGCGAAUGCAGAAAACCAAGCAGAGCAGAGUUAAACUUUCAUGAAAGCUGAAUUAAGUUGGAGAAGAGCCAGCUCCAGGGACAGACAGCAGUGUGAUGGAGUAAGAGCAAGGAAGACCCAGACAACUGGUGUUCCUGCUAAUUCCCCUUCCCUGCAUCCCACACUGCCAAUUUUUAGGGAGCUUAAAUUGCUCCAUCCCACCAUGGCAGAGCAUCCAGCCUGGCACAGGCACUAAGCAGCUCUUUCACCAUUUCUCACCAAAAGGCACCGCUACUUCAGAAAAAAAUAAAGUUUAUUCCAUGGUCUAA